rnacentral:rRNA from 1 species
GAGUUUGAUCUUGGCUCAGAUUGAACGCUGGCGGCAUGCCUUACACAUGCAAGUCGAACGGCAGCACGGGAGCUUGCUCCUGGUGGCGAGUGGCGAACGGGUGAGUAAUGCAUCGGAACGUAUCCUGGAGUGGGGGAUAACGUAGCGAAAGUUACGCUAAUACCGCAUAUUCUGUGAGCAGGAAAGCGGGGGACCUUCGGGCCUCGCGCUCUUGGAGCGGCCGAUGUCGGAUUAGCCAGUUGGUGAGGUAAAGGCUCACCAAGGCGACGAUCCGUAGCAGGUCUGAGAGGAUGAUCUGCCACACUGGAACUGAGACACGGUCCAGACUCCUACGGGAGGCAGCAGUGGGGAAUUUUGGACAAUGGGGGCAACCCUGAUCCAGCCAUGCGCGUGAGUGAAGAAGGCC